AUUGAACGCUGGCGGCAGGCCUAACACAUGCAAGUCGAACGGAGCCGCGGACGAGUGAGUAAUGCCUAGGAAUCUGCCUGUUGGUGGGGGAUAACGUACGGAAACGGGCGCUUAUACCGCAUCCUAGCAGAUCAGCCUGGGUCGGAUUAGCUAGUUGGAGGGGUGAAGGCCUACCAAGGCGACGAUCCGUAACUGGUCUGAGAGGAUGAUCAGUCACAAUGGAACUGAGACACGGUCCAGACUCCUACGGGAGGCAGCAGUGGGGAAUAUUGGACAAUGGGCGAAAGCCUGAGCCAGCCAUGCCGCGUGUGUGAAGAAGGUCUUCGGAUUGUAAAGCACUUUAAGUUGGGAGGCGUUACCAACAGAAUAAGCACCGGCUAACUUCGUGCCAGCCGCCGCGGUAAUUC
rnacentral:rRNA from 1 species